rnacentral:lncRNA from 1 species
CUGCGCUUCCGUUCGCUUGACUGGCUGCGCUUGUUUUCAGGGUUUUGGUCUGAAAACGGAUCUUACCUGCGCAGAGCAAAAUCGGUUGUAGAUUAUAUCCACGAAAAUUCCUUCUAUUAAAAUGAAUUUCAAGUCCCACCUACCCUGGAAGCAGAAAGAGAGAGAAGAGAGAGAGUAAAGAGAAAGAGAAAAGAAAGAGAAGUUGAAAAAGAGAAAGAAAACCAAGAAAGAAAGAGAAAAAAACCGAAAAUAAAUGGACAAGAAAGAAAAACGGUGAAGGUCAACCCUGUGCUCAAUUCCAGAGACUUUCCUAGGGACAUCGUGUUGGGCAUGGAGGACUAAGGCCAGUGUGAAGAUAAGUCACCGAUUCUUUAAAAAAAAAAAGCCAGUAACUUAUAAAAAUAGCCAUAAACGACGUAGUUUUUUGUUGUUGUUGUUGUUUUGAGACAGCGUCUCCCUCUGUCCCCCAGGCGGGAGUACAGUGGCAGGCACUCAGCUCACUGUAACCUCCGCCUCCUGGGUUCAAGUGAUUCUCUUGCCCCAGCCUCCAGAGUAGCCACCACGCCCGGUCCAACUUAGUUUUUUAAUACUUUUUAAAAUUUUAAGACAGGGUCUCUGCCACCGAGGCUGAAAUGCAGUGGCGCAAUCAUAGCUCACUGCAACCUUGACUUCCUGGGGUCCUGGGCAGGUGACCCCCUGUCUCAGCCUGCCGAGUAGCUGUGAGUAAAGGCCUGUGCCUCUCCACUGUGCUAAUUUUCUACUGUUUGUUGCUUUGUUUUUAAUAGAGAUGUAGUCUGGUUUUGUUGCCCAGGCUGGUCUCCAGCUUCUAGCCUCAAGCAGUCUUCCCAUCUGCUCCUACCAAAGUGCUCGGAUUAUAGGCAUGAAUCACCUUGCAUGGGAGAUAAGGACCCCCACAUCAAGCCCUCAGGUUAUUUUUGAAACACAAAUACAUAAGGCCCACAAGCAGGCCCAUUGGCUGCAGACAGUGGGGUCACCUGAAGAACUUUUCUUUGAUCUGAGUACCAACUUCUCACCUAGGUCACUGGGAUCCUGGACUACGGCACUGCUCCAGGCAGGCCUGGUUAUCCUGCUUGAGGCAGCAAUCCUCUUGAGCCUAGUGAAAUGCAACUGGCUGUACCUCAAUGAUGUUGCCCUGAGAUUCUGCCAGUCGAGGUAUUACUUCAAUCUCCUGAGACCAGCCUCUACCUCCAGAUCCAGGGAGGUCAGUGCACAUGUAAAUGGACUAGCUUUAUUAAAGGGGAUAUCUGGGCCAGGCGUGGUGGCUCACGCCUGUAAUCCCAAUACUUUGGGAGGCCGAGGAGGGCAGAUCACCUGAGGUCGGGAAUUAGAGACCAGCCUGGUUAACAUGGUGAAACGAAGUCUCUACUAAAAAUACAAAAAAAAAAAAAAAAAAAAUUAGCCAGGCAUGGUGGCACACGCCUGUAGUCCCAGCUACUCGAGAGGCUGAGACACAAGAAUUGCUUGAAUCUGGGAGGUGGAGGUGCAGUAAGCCAAGAUUGCGCCACUGCACUCCAGCCUGGGAGACAGAGCGAGACUCCGUCUCAAAAAAUAUAAAAAUAAAAGGGAUAUCUGGAUUGGCGGAGAGACUGCAGGACAGCAUUCAAGUGGGGUUGAAUUGGCCCAGUUGCAUCUGACUUCUCACUUGUAGUUCCCAAGAAUGAAUAUAGAAUGUGCUGGAAAAGCAACAUCCUGAGAGGAAGGGACCGGUGAGAAAAGGACAGGAUGUGUUCCAGAUCCCCAGAACAGGAUCCCCUUUGUUGCUUUAGGCCAACGUGCCAUGCAUCCCUGGAGCAUGAAACCCAGGAUGGGCCGCCUUCCAGCCUCCCACAGCUGUGAUGCAAGUUGAACACAUACAGAGAGACUGCAUCUGCACUGGGUGGUUUUCCUGAGCCUUGGGGAGCAGAAUGCAUGAAUCCCAGGUAUCUGCCGAUCUGUAUGUAACAAAUUCACUUCAUGUAACUUACUGUGUGUCCGUGAGAUUAUCUCUCACUCAACUCAGACACAUUGGCAACCAGUGUGCAGUGAACCUGCUUCACAAGCAAGGAUGUGGAGAAACUAUUUUCGUACAUUUUGUGGGAAUCUGAAAUACUGCGGUCAGUAUGGAAAGCAGUAUCAUGGGAAACUUCCUCAACUCAAGAUCACCUACCAAUCCUUACAGAAUCAGAAUCAUCAUACAAACUGGUGAAAGCAUAGUUUCCCCUAGAGGUUGGGAUGAGGGCAAGAAUGUCCCCUCUUAUCACUACUAUUCCACACAAUAUGAAAGGUUCCAGCCAGUGAAAUAAAGGAAAAAGAAAUAAAAGUGACAGGCUGGGUGUGGUGUCUGAGGCCUGUAAUCACAGUGCUUUGGGAGGCUGAGGAAGGAGGGUGGCCUGAGGACAGGACAAAAAAAAUAGUGUACCAACAGAAAAUAUGUUGGUUGUGCAGGCUAAUACCUUUCCCAAAGGAAGGUAGCUACAUCCCUAUGACCUGUGUUACUGGAUAUAUCAAAAGGGAGUUUGCAAAUGUGGUCUAGAUAAGGAUCUUUAGAUAGACAUCCUGAAUUAUAUGGUCAAAGUGAUAGAAUCACAAGGUUCAAUAUCAGAAGGGUGCAGGUGGAUGCGAAGGGACAGAGACAGUGGUGAUGUGUUGAAAAUAGAGGGAUAAAGAGAUUUUUUUUCUCACCUUUAAAGAUGGAGGAAGUGGACCAUGAGUCAAAGGAUGUAAGUGGCCUCUGGAACCUACAAAGGGUAAGGAAACAAAUUCUCCCCUGGAGAUUAAUGAAGAAUCACAGAACUAUGGACCCAUAUUAGAUAUGUGACUUACAGAAUUAUAAAAGAAUAAAUUUUUCUUGUUUUAAGCCAAUCACUGUGUAUAGCAAUAGGAAACUGAUGAAAUGAUUUUAUGUAGAAAAUUCCAAAAAAAUCUACAAAAAUCUCUAGAACAAGAAAAAUGUAAAGGUAGCAAAGUAUAAGGUCAACCUACAAAAAUAUCGUAUAUUUCAUCAGCCAGGCAUGGUGGCUCGUGCCUGUAAUCCCAGCACUUUGGGAGGCCAAGGCAGGCAGAUCACUCAAGCUCAGGAGUUUGAGACCAGGCUGGGUAACAUGGUGAAACCCCAUCUCUACAAAACACAAAAAUUUAACAGGCCAUGGUGGCACAUGCCUGCAGUGCCAGCUACUGGGGAAGCUGAGGUGGGAGGAUGACUUAAGCCUGCAGGACACAGGUUGCAGUAGCUGAGAUUGCUCCACUGCACUCCAGCCAGGAUGACAGAGUAAGGCCCUGUCUCAAAAUAAUAAUAAUAAUAAUCUUGUAUAUUUCUAUACACUAGCAAUUUGCACAUGAAACCUGAUAUUAAAAAUAAAAUACUAUGUAUGAUUGCUCCAUUAAGAAAAAGGUCAAAGAGGCCGGGUGCAGUGGCUUACACCUGUAAUCCCAGCACUUUGGGAGGCCAAGGCAGGUGGACUACGAGGUCAGGAGAUCGAGACUAUCCUGGCUAACACGGUGAAACCCCAUCUCUACUAAGAAAAUACAAAAAAAUUAGCCAGGUGUGGUGGCGGGUGCCUGUAGUCCCAGCUACUGGGGAGGCCGAGGCAGGAGAAUGGCGUGAACUCAGGAGGCGGAGCUUGCAGUGAGCUGAGAUCGCGCCACUGCACUCCAGCCUGGGCGACAGAGCAAGACUCCGUCUCAAAAAAAAAAAAAAAAAAAGGGGGGGGGCAAAGAAAUACAUGUGAAACAAAACAUUCAUAGAACUGUUAUGUUACAACUACCAAAUGCUGAUAAAAGAAAUCAAAGACAGCAAAUAGAGACAUAUACCAUAUACAUUUAUUGGAAGACUCCAUGUAAAGCAAUAUGAAUUAUACAAAUCUGACACAUAGGGUUAAUACCUUUCCUAAUUAAGGCAUUCUGCAGAUACUAACAAGGUUAGCAGUUAUGUAGAAAGACAAAAAACCCAAACACCUAAAAUAGCUAAAACAUCUGACCAACAACAACAAAAGAUUGGUAUCACUUCAUGUGAUUUCAAGUCUUCUAAUACAAUAAAAGUAUUUUUUCCCUUUCUCAUAUUUACAGUAAACCUAGUUUGUAUUUGUCAUUGUCUCGAAGCAAGAAUCUGUCCCAGAAAAAAAAAAAAGAAAGAAAGAAAAUUUCCAUUCAAAACUAACAGGAUUUAGGCCAGGCAUGGUGGCUCACACCUGUAAUCCCAGCCCUUUGGGAGGCUGAGGCGGGCAGAUCAAAUGAGGACAGCAGUUCGAGACCAGCCUGGCCAACUUGGUGAAACCCUCUCUCUACUAAAAAUACAGAAAUUAGCCAAGGAUGGUGGCAGGCACCAGUAAUCCCAGCUACUCAGGAGGCUGAGGCAGGAGACUAGCUUAAACCUGGGAGGCAGAGGUUGCAGUGAGCCGAGAUUGCGCCACUGUACUCCAGCCUGGGCAACAGAGUGAGACUCUGUCUCAGAAAAGAAAAAAAAAAAAAAAACUAACAGGAUUUAUACUAUUGGUUUUCCACAGAAUUCUCCCAGUUGCAGAGUUUCCCAAACACUAUUUAUUAGUGUGGCUUUGCAGGGUGCAGUGGCUCACACCUGUAAUCCCACCAGUUUGGGAGGCAGAGGAAGGAGGAUGACUUGAGCCCAGGAGUUCCAGGCUGCAGUGAGCUAUGAUUGCCACUGCACUCCAACCUGGCUAACAGAGCAAGACCCUGUCUCUCAAAAAAUAUAUAUAUAUAUACAGCUUCCACUCUGCCCAUCUGAGCUCUUACCUGUGUUCACACCUUUGAUCCAUUCCCUCCCAUCUGGAUUUUUUUGCUAUUUUCCCUUCACUCUCCAGAGUCCAGGGCUCUCUCCUUUGCUCCCACAUAGAGAUAAUACUCAGGUCAGGAAGACAGAUUCCUGUUUAUAAAAAAAGAGAACCAAGGUGUACUGUGGCACCUUUAAAACUCAAGCCCUGGGCUGGGUGCAGUGGCCCAGGCCUGUAAUCCCAGCACUUUGGGAUGCCGAGGCAGGCAGAUCACUUGAGGUCAGGAGUUCGAGACCAGCCUGGCCAACGUGGCAAUAUGCUGUCUCUACUAAAAAUAUAAAAAUUAGCCAGGUUUGGUGGUGGACGCCUGUAAUCCCAGCUCCCUGGGAGUCUGAGGCAGGAGAAUCACUUGAACCCGGGAGGUGGCGGUUGCAAUGAGCUGAGAUAGCACCACUGCACUCUAGCCUGGGUGACAGAGCGAGGCUCCGUCAAAGUGAAAGAAAAGAAAGAGAGAGAGAAAGGGAGGAAGGAAAGAGAGAAAGAGAAAGAAAGUCAGUCCAUGGUUUCCAAAACAUACUUCUGUUUCCAUUAAUUUAUUAGGAAUGCUCUUCCAUCUGGCUGUUGAUCUGUGUCCUGUGUAACAUCCUUUAUAACAAAUGGUACACCUCAGUAAAUUGUUUCUCCAAGUUGUGUAAAUCACUCUAGCAAUAGCAAAUUCUGGGGGCAGUUUUGUGCAACUGAGCCCUCAGCCUCCUGUGAGAUCUAAUGCUAACUCCCUAUAAAUGGUGUCAAAUUGAGUUCAAUUAGAGAACACCCAGUUUUUAUCUGAUGAAAAAUAGCUUGUUGGUGGGAAGUAAUCCCCACACAUUUUGAUGACCGGAGAUGAGGCAUUCUGUGUUGAGCAUUCACUAUUGUGUUGAUUGUGAGUAGAAAAAACACUUUGGUUUUUCCUCCUAUCUUAUACACUCACACACCCUACCCCAUCCCAGAAGUGAAGAUAGUGACCCAUACCUGAAUGAGUCAAGUCACUGCCUGCCGUCUGGCAGAAUAAGGACAGCAAAUGGAAGCUAACCUCUGAUACCAAGAAUUAGGAAAUGCACAUGCCUUAUAGACAGUUUUCCAAUUCUCAUCUUCAUCUGUAUAUUUUAAACAAAUGUGAUGUUUAUUAUAGAGAAAUUAAUCAUAAUAUCCAAUCAAUUCAUCAUUCAUCUGGAUUGAGUGUCCCCCUCUUUCCUCAUUACUGUGUGUUUCUCUACCUACCUCUCAUUCUCACCUUCUUUUCCUAGCUUUUUUUUUCUCUUUAUUUUUCCCCUAGGAUUCUCCUCAUUUCAAGCCCUUCUUCCUUCUCCUGCUCUUCCCUCUAUUCCUUCUCUUCCACUUGUUCUGCUCCUUUCUCACUUCUUUCACCUCUUAUUCUUCUUUCUGCCCAAUAUUUGUCUCCAAUUUUCAUAUAGUUCUGCCUCUUUCUUCCCCCCGUCUCUGCUGCCCCCUAGCUUCCCCUGUUAAAUCCCCUCUUCCCUGCUAUAUCCACCUGUCCCCUCUCUGGCAUCCCCAGAUCCCAGUUCUCCCCAGGCUGUGGUUCUCCCUGUGCUCUCCUUAUCACUGGCUGCCCCUCUUGCUCUCCCAGCACCAUGCUGCUCUGUCUGCCCUGGCUCCAAAUCCCUCCUUCUCUCCCCAACUCUCCAUCUGAGGAGCCUCCCCUUUUCUGCCCCUCUCCCUAUCUUGCUGAACUUUAUCUCUCUAGAAACCCAGUUUUUCUCUAAAUUUCUCUAGUUGCUUUUCUCCCCCUGCUCCUUUCUCAGCAUCUUCAUGCACUGUCUCUGCAAAUCCCUCAUCCACCAUCUACUUUGCCAUCUGUUUUGUUUUGUUUUUUGUUUUUUGAGAUGGAGUUUUGCUCGUCGCCCAGGCUGGAGUGCAAUGGUGCGAUCUUGGCUCACCGCAACCUCCGCCUCCCGGGUAAAAGCGAUUCUCCUGCCUCAGUCUCCAGAGUAGCUGGGAUUACAGGCAUUCGCCACCAUGCCUGGCUAAUUUUGUAUUUUUUAGAGACAGGGUUUCUCCAUGUUGGUCAGGCUGGUCUCAAAACUCCUGACCUCAGGUGAUCUGCCCGCCUCAGCCUCCCAAAGUGCUGGAAUUACAGGCGUGAGCCAUCGCACCCAGCUGCCGUCUGUUUAUGGGUCUCCUUCAUUCUUCUUUCCCAUUUCACCAUUUUUCUAUUUCCUCUCCUCCACACAUUCAUAGGGAGGGGACUGCAGUCAGAUCCCCACCUCAAGAGCCCAUUUCCUGUGGGAUGGAAUUUGGGACAAGAGAAACCUUAACGUCCUGAGAUAGAAGUCACGUCCCCACACUCGAUAUCAGGAGAAGGGGAGGCCUGGGGAGCAGAAGGGCCCCCGAUCAAGGAGGAAAAAGGCAGGAGAAAGUCAGGAGAGGGGCAGGGUCUGCAGGAUCCCAGGACCAGGAAGAGUUCACGGCCUCCCUGGGACUGGGGCUGCGUCGCUGCGCUCCAGGAGCUGACGAGGGAGCGGAGCAGAUGGGAAGCUCCCAGGGCGGGAAUCAACCUUGCGGUGAGGACUUUAAAAAAGGUGCGGGCCAGUGCAGGGGACACUGAAGGAUUUGAGGCAGGAAAACUCCGCGAUAAGAGCUGUCUAUAUGGCCCUGUGGCAGAAGCACGGGGGACACGACCCCAUGGAACUGUGUCCAUUAAACCUCUUUGUCUUCAUAAAUUACCCAGUCUCGGGUAUUUCUUUAUUAGCAGCGUGAGAACAGACUAAUACAGUAAAUUGGUAAUGGUAUAGAGUGGGGUGCUGCUAUAAGGAUACCUCAAAAUGUGGAAGCAAAUUUUGAACUGGGUAACAGGCAAAGGCUGGAACAGUUUGGAGGGCUCAAAAGAAGACAGGAAGACGUGGGAAAGUUUGGAGCUUCCUAGAAAAUGGUUGUUGAAUGGUUCUGACCAAAAAGUCCAGGCUGAAGGUGGUCUCAGAUGGAGAUGAGGAACUUUAUUGGAACUGGAGCAGAGGUGAGCUGCAGGGGCGGAGCCCUCAUGGAGAACCUCUGCUAGAGCAGUGCAGAAGUAAAAUGUGGGGUUGGAGCCCCCACACAGACUACUCACUACUCGCCUAGUGCAGCCGUGAGAAAAGGGCCACCCUCCUAUAGACCCCAGAAUGGUAGAUUCACCGACAGCUUGCACCAUGUGCCUGGAAAAGUAGCAGACACAACACCAGCCUGUGAAAGCAGCCAGGAGAGGAGCUGUACCCUGCAAAGUCACAGGGGCAGACAUGGGUUCCCUGCAAGACCACUGGAACCAACCUCUUGCAUAAGUGUGACCUGGAUGUGAGACACGGAGUCAAAAGAGAUCAUUUUGGAGCUUUGACUGCCCUGCUGGAUUUCAGACUGGCAUGGGGCCUGUGACCUGUUUUGGCCAAUUUCUCCCAUUUGCAACGGGCGUUAUUUAUCCAAUACCUGUGCCUCCAUUGUACCUAGGAAAUAACUAACUUGCUUUUUAUUUUACAGGCUCAUAAACAGAAGAGACUUGCUUGUCUCAGAUGAAACUUUGGACUGUGGACUUUUGAGUUAAUGCUGAAAUAAGACUUUGGGGGACUGUUGGGGAGGCAUGAUUGGUUUUGAAAUGUGAGGACAUGAGAUUUGGGAGGGACCAGGGGCAAAAUGAUAUGGUUUGGCUGUGUCCCCACCAAAUCUCAUCUUGAAUUGCAGCUCCCAUGAUCCCCACAUGUGGGAGGGACCCGGGGGGAGGUAACUGAAUCAUGGGGGUGGGAUUUUCCCAUGCUGUUCUCAUGAUAGUGAAUAAAUCUCAUGAGAUCUUAUGGUUUUAUAAAGGGCAGUUUCCCUGCACGGGCUCUCUCUUGCCCGCCACCACGUAAGACAUGUGUUUGCUCCUCCUUCACCUUCUGCCAUGAUUGUGAGGUCUCUCUAGCCGUGUGAAACUGUGAGUCCAUUAAACUUCUUUUUCUUUAUAAAUUACCUAGUCUUGUGUAUGUCUGUAUUAGCAGCAUGAGAACAGACUAAUACAACAUCCCAGGCUGCUCACCUAUCCCUGUUCUCCAAUUUGGACCAGCUGGGGAAGUCCAUCCUGCUUUCCCCAGAAAGCCUCAUGUAAAUGUUUAUGUAGUAAACAUUUGCAGACCAUAUCAGUGUAUGGCAUCAUCAUUCUCAAUAUAUAAUACAAACUUUAGGUGGACUUCAAACAAAUUCCAGUACAGCAGUCAAAAGUUCAAAUUAUCGGUCAAGCAUGGUGGCUCACACCUGUAAUCUCAGUACUUUGGGAGGCUGAGGCGGGUGGAUCACGAGGUCAAGAGAUCAAGACCAUCCCGGCCAACAUGGUGAAACCCUGUCUCUAUUAAAAAUACAAAAAUUAGCUGGGCGUGGUGGUGCACGCUUGUAGUCCCAGGUACUCAUGAGGCUGAGGCAGCCGUUUGAACCCGGGAGGCAGAGGUUGCCAUGAGCCAAGAUCGCGCCACUGCACUCCAGCCUGGUGACAGAGACUCUGCCUAAAAAAAAAAAAAAAAAAAAAAAAGUUCAAAUUGCCAAAAAUGUUGUAAGGGGAAGUAUAUGAAGUUUCUAGUUAAUCUACAAAAGCAAAAAAAACUCCCAUUCUAUGUGACCAUUCUUAAAAUUUAUGGGCCAGGCGCAGUGGCUCACACCUGUAAUCCCCGCACUUUGGGAGUCCGAGGCGGGUGGAUCACAAGGUCAGGAGUUUGAGACCAGCCUAGCCAAUAUGGUGAAACCUUGUCUCUACUAAAAAUACAAAAAUUAGCCGGGCGUGGUGGUGCGCGCCUGUAGUCACAGUUAUUUGGGAGGCUGAAGCAGAAGAAUUGCUUCAACCUGGGAGGUGGAGGUUGCAGUGAGCCGAGAUCGUGCCACUGCACUCCAGACUCUGUCUCAAAAAAAAAAAAAAAAAGAAAAUUUAUGAACAUUAAUAUUUUCCACUUACGUCACUGAGCACUACUAGGAAAAAAAAAAAAGACAUGCACUACUAGGAAAAAAAAGACAUUGUGGUACAGUAUUUUCACUCUUAUUAACAUACUUUCUUUCAUUUAAUAGUAUUUGUCGCCAGGCACAGUGGCUCACGCCUGUAAUCCUAGCACUUUGGGAGGCCGAGGCAGGCAGAUUGCCUGAGUUCAGGAGUUCGAGAACAGCCUGGGCAACAUGGUGAAACCCCGUCUCUAA